UAAUUGGUGAUUUUCAUUGGAUUUUGAAACAAGCAGCUCGAAGUGUGUACAUUUGAUUAUAAGAAACGUUUCCUCGGAACCGUGCGGUUCCUGAACACCGGGAAGCUGCAGAUGAAUCCGGAGCAGUUUCCGGUGUGUGAUGUUUCUUUGUCUGGCCCGCAGUUUGCUGGUUCCGUUAUUGGCCUGCUGAAUGUGGCUCCUGGACGCCAUUGGUUUAGUCUGACGCCAGUCUCCGGCGCGUGCUCGCGGUGCCCCGUUGUGAACGCGCCCUCGGUGAUGCGCGCGCGCUAGCGCAGACAGAGUGCCCGACCGGAGUCUGUCUGGAGUCUGUCUGGAACAAACUGAUCCCCGGAUGGGACUUCGCACGAGACUCGGUGGAACUUUGUUCGUGCGCGAGAGCCGUUCGCACGCGCAGACGGGUGUAGGGUAUCAUAGCGGUGUCCCGGGAGCGCGUGCCCAACUUUUCUUUUUCUCUCUUCUUUCAUCAGUUCAUUAAACACAGAGCAUCAGACGUGAACGCACGUGUUACACGCAGCCGGAUUUGUGCUCCAAACCUCAUUAACGUGUAAAAAAAGGAACCGAGAAGACCUUCUUCGUCCUGUGCAUGUCCUGAAAUUGUAAUAAACACGAGUGUAUGCCUUCAUUAUGGCUUCAUGUCAUAUCUUUUGUUUUGUCCUUAAAAGCUAAUAAAUGUUAUUAAUAAUCA